AGUGAACGCUGGCGGUAGGCCUAACACAUGCAAGUCGAACGGCAGCACAGUAAGAGCUUGCUCUUACGGGUGGCGAGUGGCGGACGGGUGAGGAAUACAUCGGAAUCUACUUUUUCGUGGGGGAUAACGUAGGGAAACUUACGCUAAUACCGCAUACGACCUACGGGUGAAAGCAGGGGAUCUUCGGACCUUGCGCGAUUGAAUGAGCCGAUGUCGGGUUAGCUAGUUGGCGGGGUAAAGGCCCACCAAGGCGACGAUCCGUAGCUGGUCUGAGAGGAUGAUCAGCCACACUGGAACUGAGACACGGUCCAGACUCCUACGGGAGGCAGCAGUGGGGAAUAUUGGACAAUGGGCGCAAGCCUGAUCCAGCCAUACCGCGUGGGUGAAGAAGGCCUUCGGGUUGUAAAGCCCUUUUGUUGGGAAAGAAAAGCAGCAGGUUAAUACCCCGCUGUUCUGGCGGUACCCAAAGAAUAAGCACCGGCUAACUUCGUG
rnacentral:rRNA from 1 species